UACGUAGGGGGCUAGCGUUGUCCGGAAUCAUUGGGCGUAAAGCGCGUGUAGGCAGUCCGGUAAGUCCGCUGUGAAAGUCGGGGGCUCAACCCUCGGAUGCCGGUGGAUACUGUCGGGCUUGAGUACGGAAGAGGCGAGUGGAAUUCCUGGUGUAGCGGUGAAAUGCGCAGAUAUCAGGAGGAACACCAAUUGCGAAGGCAGCUCGCUGGGACGUUACUGACGCUGAGACGCGAAAGCGUGGGGAGCAAACAGG
rnacentral:rRNA from 1 species